CAUUAGGUGGCUGAAAGUAAGCAAUGGAAUUUUAAACCAUAUUAUAAUACCUAACAAAUAUUCCUAAUG
rnacentral:tRNA from 1 species